CGCGGCCUAUCAGCUUGUUGGUGAGGUAAUGGCUCACCAAGGCGACGACGGGUAGCCGGCCUGAGAGGGCGACCAGCCACACUGGGACUGAGGCACGGCCCAGACUCCUACGGGAGGCAGCAGUGGGGAAUAUUGCACAAUGGGCGAAAGCCUGAUGCAGCGACGCCGCGUGAGGGAUGACGGCCUUCGGGUUGUAAACCUCUUUCGGCAGGGAAGAAGCGAAAGUGACGGUACCUGCAGAAGAAGCGCCGGCUAACUACGUGCCAGCAGCCGCGGUAAUACGUAGGGCGCAAGCGUUGUCCGGAAUUAUUGGGCGUAAAGAGCUCGUAGGCGGCUUGUCACGUCGGGUGUGAAAGCCCGGGGCUUAACCCCGGGUCUGCAUUCGAUACGGGCUAGCUAGAGUGUGGUAGGGGAGAUCGGAAUUCCUGGUGUAGCGGUGAAAUGCGCAGAUAUCAGGAGGAACACCGGUGGCGAAGGCGGAUCUCUGGGCCAUUACUGACGCUGAGGAGCGAAAGCGUGGGGAGCGAACAGGAUUAGAUACCCUGGUAGUCCACGCCGUAAACGGUGGGAACUAGGUGUUGGCGACAUUCCACGUCGUCGGUGCCGCAGCUAACGCAUUAAGUUCCCCGCCUGGGGAGUACG
rnacentral:rRNA from 1 species